UACGGAGGAUGCAAGUGUUAUCCGGAAUCACUGGGCGUAAAGCGUCUGUAGGUGGUUUAAUAAGUCAACUGUUAAAUCUUGAGGCUCAACUUCAAAAUCGCAGUCGAAACUAUUAGACUAGAGUAUAGUAGGGGUAAAGGGAAUUUCCAGUGGAGCGGUGAAAUGCGUAGAGAUUGGAAAGAACACCAAUGGCGAAAGCACUUUACUGGGCUAUCACUGACACUGAGAGACGAAAGCUAGGGUAGCAAAUGGG
rnacentral:rRNA from 1 species